AUUGAACGCUGGCGGCAGGCCUAACACAUGCAAGUCGGACGGUAGCACAGAGGAGCUUGCUCUUCGGGUGACGAGUGGCGGACGGGUGAGUAAUGUCUGGGGAUCUGCCCGAUAGAGGGGGAUAACCACUGGAAACGGUGGCUAAUACCGCAUAACGUCGCAAGACCAAAGAGGGGGACCUUCGGGCCUCUCACUAUCGGAUGAACCCAGAUGGGAUUAGCUAGUAGGCGGGGUAACGGCCCACCUAGGCGACGAUCCCUAGCUGGUCUGAGAGGAUGACCAGCCACACGUGAACUGAGACACGGUCCAGACUCCGACGGGAGGCAGCAGUGGGGAAUAUUGCACAAUGGGCGCAAGCCUGAUGCAGCCAUGCCGCGUGUAUGAAGAAGGCCUUCGGGUUGUAAAGUACUUUCAGCGGGGAGGAAGGCGAUGUGGUUAAUAACCGCGUCGAUUGACGUUACCCGCAGAAGAAGCACCGGCUAACUCCGUGCCAGCAGCCGCUGUAA
rnacentral:rRNA from 1 species